rnacentral:rRNA from 1 species
AGUCAAGUAAUUAAGUGCAUGUGGUGGAUGCCUUGGCAGUCAGAGGCGAUGAAAGACGUGAUAGCCUGCGAAAAGCUCCGGGGAGGCGGCAAAUAUCCUUUGAUCCGGAGAUGUCUGAAUGGGGGAACCCACCUACUUUAAGGUAGGUAUUGCAACAUGAAUACAUAGUGUUGCAAGGCGAACGAGGGGAAGUGAAACAUCUCAGUACCCUUAGGAAAAGAAAUCAAUUGAGAUUCCCUCAGUAGCGGCGAGCGAACGGGGAUCAGCCCAUUAAGUUAUGUGUGUUUUAGUGGAACGCUCUGGGAAGUGCGAACGUAGAGGGUGAUAUUCCCGUACACGAAAGGGCACACAUAAUGAUGACGAGUAGGGCGAGGCACGUGAAACCUUGUCUGAAUAUGGGGGGACCAUCCUCCAAGGCUAAAUACUCCUGACUGACCGAUAGUGAACCAGUACCGUGAGGGAAAGGCGAAAAGAACCCCUGUGAGGGGAGUGAAAUAGAUCCUGAAACCGCAUGCAUACAAGCAGUGGGAGCACCUUCGUGGUGUGACUGCGUACCUUUUGUAUAAUGGGUCAGCGACUUAUAUUCAGUAGCGAGGUUAACCGUAUAGGGGAGCCGUAGAGAAAUCGAGUCUUAAUAGGGCGUUUAGUUGCUGGGUAUAGACCCGAAACCAGGCGAUCUAUCCAUGAGCAGGUUGAAGGUUGGGUAACACUAACUGGAGGACCGAACCCACUGUCGUUGAAAAGCCAGGGGAUGACUUGUGGAUAGGGGUGAAAGGCUAAUCAAGCCUGGUGAUAGCUGGUUCUCCCCGAAAGCUAUUUAGGUAGCGCCUCGGACGAAUACCAUAGGGGGUAGAGCACUGUUUCGGCUAGGGGGUCAUCCCGACUUACCAAACCGAUGCAAACUCCGAAUACCUAUGAGUACUAUCCGGGAGACAGACUGCGGGUGCUAACGUCCGUAGUCAAGAGGAAAACAAUCCAGACCGCCAGCUAAGGCCCCAAAAUCAUAGUUAAGUGGGAAACGAUGUGGGAAGGCAUAGACAGCUAGGAGGUUGGCUUAGAAGCAGCCACCCUUUAAAGAAAGCGUAAUAGCUCACUAGUCGAGUCGGCCUGCGCGGAAGAUGUAACGGGGCUAAAACUAUGUGCCGAAGCUGCGGAUGUAUACUUUGUAUACGUGGUAGGGGAGCGUUCUGUAAGCCGAUGAAGGUGUGUUGAGAAGCAUGCUGGAGGUAUCAGAAGUGCGAAUGCUGACGUGAGUAACGACAAAACGGGUGAAAAACCCGUUCGCCGAAAGACCAAGGGUUCCAGUCCAACGUUAAUCGGGGCUGGGUGAGUCGACCCCUAAGGCGAGGCCGAAAGGCGUAGUCGAUGGGAAAAUGGUUAAUAUUCCAUUACUUCUGUGUAAUGCGAUGAGAGGACGGAGAAGGCUAAAUCAGCCUGGCGUUGGUUGUCCAGGUGAAAGGAUGUAGGCAUGUAUCUUAGGCAAAUCCGGGGUACUCUAUGCUGAGAUCUGAUAGCAAGCUGUACUUGUACAGCGAAGUGGUUGAUGCCAUGCUUCCAGGAAAAGUCUCUAAGCUUCAGUUACACAGGAAUCGUACCCGAAACCGACACAGGUGGUCAGGUCGAGUAGACC